rnacentral:lncRNA from 1 species
UGCACUGCCCUGGGCCGCUGAGGAGCCUGGCAGAAUUGUAACGAAGCCAGUUUCUUCUACCAGCUCUCACACUGGGAAUGAUAUCAUCCCUGAAUCCAGAUCCUGCAUGUAUACACUCAGCACCUUCCCCUGGGAUUCCAUUCUGUCACUCUGGAACCCCUAAACAGGAGGUGGUAAAAGGCGGGGAAUGUCUGCAGACGAGGUCACAUGAUUUGUACCUGCCUGACUUGUGGAAGCUCCCGAAGGUACCAUAUGCUGGCGGCCUGGUAAAGGGACUCUAAAGUAU